CCUACGGGUGGCAGCAGUGAGGAAUAUUGGUCAAUGGACGAGAGUCUGAACCAGCCAAGUAGCGUGAAGGAUGACUGCCCUAUGGGUUGUAAACUUCUUUUAUAUGGGAAUAAAAUGUUCCACGUGUGGGAUUUUGUAUGUACCAUAUGAAUGAGGAUCGGCUAACUCCGUGCCAGCAGCCGCGGUAAUACGGUGGAUCCGAGCGUUCUCCGGAUUUAUUGGGUUUAAAGGGAGCGUAGGUGGAUUGUUAAGUCAGUUGUGAAAGUUUGCGGCUCAACCGUAAAAUUGCAGUUGAAACUGGCAGUCUUGAGUACAGUAGAGGUGGGCGGAAUUCGUGGUGUAGCGGUGAAAUGCUUAGAUAUCACGAAGAACUCCGAUUGCGAAGGCAGUUCACUGGACUGCAACUGACACUGAGGCUCGAAAGUGUGGGUAUCAAACAGGAUUAGAUACCCGGGUAGUC
rnacentral:rRNA from 1 species